UGACCUGAGCCGAAGUCGGACGCUUAACAGACUGAGCCACCCAGUGGACUGAAAGAGAUUGGGAGUUGAUUGGAUAGUCAGAGAUAGGUGCAGAAUUUAAACUCCUGGAUCAUAGAAAAAUUAAUGAAAUAGCAGAAAGAAUCAUAUAGCGGGCACAUUUUGUUGCUGAACAUGUUAGUCAAAUGUUGGUUGAUAAUUUCUACCUACAACGUUAGCAAGAAUUUUGGUGAAUGGACUAUGAAAAGAUGGGCAGAGACACUAGCCGGGAUGCUGGAGAUACAGCAGUGAACAAAACCCACACACCCCUCUGCCACCUGGGAGCUUACAUCAAAGAGGGAGGUGGAGAAUAAACAAGACUCCCUGUGAUCUGGCUACAUGCUGUAAAUUGCUCAUAGUGGUUCCUGCCUCCACGCCUCAUGAACAUGGUUCCUGUGUGUAGCCCAAUGCCAACCAGCUCUUUCCUGACAUGACUUUGUCCUGGGACACCUGCUCUUUCUUGCCCUGGAGACUCAAUGAUUUUAUGUCUGGAGGUUCAUAAGUCACAAGAUAUCUGGAAUUAGGUGGGAGACCAUGCUGGUGACAUUUGGAAGAACCUGGCUGGGGAAGAAUGAAGCUCAAUUAUUUUUGUCUACUUUGCUAACAAUUCAGAGUUCUGAAAAGUCUGGAUCGCACUAUGAGAAGUUUGUGUGCUUAGUGAAAUGUUGUCCAAUUGGCCAAUCCACUUGGUCUUGGGAAAUGUCCUAGAAGCUUGGCAAGAAAAUGUUCUCAAGAGAGCACAAAUGCUGCCAAUUUCCAAUUGGCCAAGACACAUUACAAGGACAACCUUCUCUCCGAGCAACCUGGCAUUUCCACUCCAAUUGGAAUCUGCAACACAAAGAUGCACGCGGGGGAAAGACUAAGUAAACAAACCGUUCAGAUUUCCGCUCCAGCCAGUUGCCUGGUACCAUGAUGUCACCUACUACUGUUUAGUUUCCAUCCACCAGGUCUACACUAGUGAAUACUCCAGGACCAGUAAAGUCACUUGUUUGCCAGCAGCAGCAGUUAUUUCUGCAUUGACCAAGCUGGUACUUUGCUCAUCAUCAAACCCAGUCCAAGUAUAGGUGGCUGCUUCUGGAAUUAACUUCCAAAUGCUGGAUGGAAGUCAGGUGUGUUUUCAUCAGGUCCGUGCAAAUCCAGGCAUUGAGUUGAUGUUGUGGAUAUAACAGGAUUGAUUUCUGGCCUUUGGGGAGCCAGCACACAGACAAUGAAGCAGGAAAACAUGAUGACCUAUGAUCCACCAGAAUGGAAGCUCCAUGAAUGCAGGGUGGUGCUUUUUUCUGCUUUUGCUCACUACUGUAUCACAAGCCCUUAGGGCAUUGCCUGCAAGCAGUAGGUACUCAACAAGUAUUUGUUGAAAGGUUAAAUAUGAUAAGAGAAAAGUAGAAAGGUGACCAAACGUGGGAUAGAAAGGAAUGUUAACCAGAGGAAGUGACAUAUAACAACCCCCUAAAGCAUAAGUGAGUUAGCCUGGAAAAGUAGGGAGAUCAUGAUUUUUUGCUUUUCACUUGCUUUUUAUUUGGGGUCUGUACUGCUUCCUGUGAUGUCUCCAUAGCUAAAUUCUUUUAUUUUUAUUUAUGUUUCUGACAAACUGACAUGCAGUAAGUAUGGAUCUUUAUUUAGCAUUUGCAAUGUCCAAAGUGGAAUUCUUAACCGAAGCUACUACUAGCUUCUGACUAUUUAGGUCUCCUGAGAUCACUGAGGCCAGGUCCUGCGUGCUUAAUUGAACACGUCACUUAUGUAUGCAUUCACGUAUUCAUUCAUUAUACACAUGUUUGUUCAGCACCCACCAUAUGCAAGAUAGUAGCUAUGUACUAAGUUGCCAGCAGAGACUGAUCAGCAAGCAUUGGAUCAAGGGAAUUGACAGUUCCCCAGAUUUGAGAGUUUAUGGGGGAAAUUGAUGAUAGAAGGAUAAGGUUUCGAACAGCCGUGGUCUGUGUCCAGUCCAUUAGCAAGCGAUUUUGGCAUAAGCAGCAUAGAAAUUAGCGGGUCAUGCAACUAGAUCUUUCCCUUCUGUAGUUGAAUCAAAUUAUCUCUUAGGGCGCCUGGUUGCCUCAGUUGGUUGAGUGUCUGACUUCGGCUCAGGUCAUGAUCUGAGCACCCUGCGUUCAGAGCCCCGUGUCGGGCUCUGUGCUGACAGCUGAGA